GACGAACGCUGGCGGCGUGCCUAAUACAUGCAAGUAGAAGCUAGUUGCGAACGGGUGAGUAACACGUCGGAACCUCCCUCAUACCGGGGGAUAAUUAUUGGAAACGUUAGCUAAUACCGCUUACUGUGAGAUGUACCUGCGUUGUAUUAGCUAGUUGGUGGGGUAAAGGCUCACCAAGGCGACGAUCCGUAGCUGGUUUGAGAGGACGACCAGCCACACUGGGACUGAGACACGGCCCAGACUCCUACGGGAGGCAGCAGUGGGGAAUUUUGGACAAUGGGGGAAACCCUGAUCCAGCCAUCCCGCGUGUGUGAUGAAGGCCUUCGGGUUGUAAAGCACUUUUGGCAGGGAAGCGGUACCUGCAGAAUAAGCACCGGCUAACUACGUGCCAGCAGCCGCGGUAAUAC
rnacentral:rRNA from 1 species